CAGCAGCCGCGGGAAAACGGAGGGUGCAAGCGUUAAUCGGAAUUACUGGGCGUAAAGCGCACGCAGGCGGUCUGUCAAGUCAGAUGUGAAAUCCCCGGGCUUAAGCUGGGAACUGCAUUUGAAACUGGCAGGCUAGAGUCUUGUAGAGGGGGGUAGAAUUCCAGGUGUAGCGGUGAAAUGCGUAGAGAUCUGGAGGAAUACCGGUGGCGAAGGCGGCCCCCUGGACAAAGACUGACGCUCAGGUGCGAAAGCGUGGGGAGCAAACAGGAUUAGAUACCCCUGUAGUCCCUGUCUCUUAUAC
rnacentral:rRNA from 1 species